GAUCCUGGCUCAGAUUGAACGCUGGCGGCAUGCCUUACACAUGCAAGUCGAACGGUAACAGGUCUUCGGAUGCUGACGAGUGGCGAACGGGUGAGUAAUACAUCGGAACGUGCCUAGUAGUGGGGGAUAACUACUCGAAAGAGUGGCUAAUACCGCAUGAGAUCUACGGAUGAAAGCAGGGGAUCGCAAGACCUUGUGCUGCUAGAGCGGCCGAUGGCAGAUUAGG
rnacentral:rRNA from 1 species